UGUUUGGGGGAUCUGCACCUGCACUCCCCUUCUGCUGUCCUUUCUUCCCUGUAGCCUCGCUUGCUUUUGCAUUUGCACUUCUCUUAGGCUCUUGGUUCUUCCCUGUAUUCUCCCUGCUUUUCCGUCUGCAUUCUCACUCUUUUCCUGUUUUUUCUCUUCUGCUUCUCUUCUGCUGUUCUAUCCUCUGUGUAUCCUCACUGCUCUUUCAUCUCUAUCCGUGCUCUUCAGUGUUUUUUUCCCCUGCUUCCUCUCCGUACUUUGUCUGCCCUGCUUUUCUUCCCUGUAACGUGACGUCUCUUUUCUUCUGCAUCUGCUCUCCUCCUCCUCUUUCUUCCCUGUAUUCUCACUGCUCAUUCUCGUGCAGCUGUGCUCCUCUUCUGCUGUUCUUUCCUCCUUGUAUCCUCACUCUUCUGAUGGUUUCCAUUGCAUCUCACCACUGCUCUUUCACCUGCAUCUGCUUUUCUCUUCUGCUGUAUGUUUCCCUGCUUCCUCACUCCUCUUUCUUCUGCAUCGGCUCUACUCUUCUGCUCUUCUUUCUUCCCUCACUCCUUUUCCAUCUGCCCACCUCUUAGGCUCUCCCUUCUUUUCUAUCCUCCCUGCUCUUUCCUCUGCAUUCUCACUCUUCUCCUGUUCUUAUUCCCCUGCAUCAUCCUCACUCCUUUUCCCUCUGCAUCAGCACUGCUCUUCUGUUGGAUUUUGUUUCCUGUUGCCAGACUUGUCUUUAUUCUGCAUCUGCACUCCUCUUCCCCUGUUCUUUCUUCUCUGUCUCCUCACUCCUCUUUCUGCUGCCUCUGCUCUCCUCUCUGCUUUUCUUUGUUCCCUGUAUUCUCACUUGUCUUUCUUCUGACUGCUCUUGAAGAGAGAGAGCAGGACCCUGCAGUUUGAGAGAGAAGGGCCUCACAGCAAGAAAGGGGAAAGCAGCUUCACAAAGUAGAAACAAGGGGCAAAUAGAGAUAGUUUAUGUAGAGAGUGGGUUCCAAGCACUUUCACAGACACUGGGUCUGGAAUAGCAAGGAGGAUGAAGGCCAUAGAGAUAAGGGCUGGAGAGCAGCUCGAAAAAACAUUUGGCAGGGAGGUGAUUAGAUGUCUACAGGGCAAGUUGAAACUGGUUUGGGGGAUGCCCCCCCUUCAGGGUCAGAAGUUUGCAGCGAGGAAGACUACGAGCCUUUGUGAGGAAGACUGCAAGCCUUCAUCAUCACGACCUACUACGCCCGCGCAAGGGGGGGAGGGACUGCAUGCUAAUGGGCUCUCGGGAAUGUAAUGAAGAUGUAUCUGAAUUCCUGUCACCUACUGAUUAUGUAUUAGUUUGACCUAUAACUAUAGCACCAUUUCUCCUGACGGGGUGCAAGUUAGGUGGAACGAUCCCCCUUGCACCAGGGUGUACGCGCGUCACCAAUAAACACAUAGCUGCUCCAUAUC
ensembl:lncRNA